AAGCCCUGAGUGGUGUUGGGACCCCAUAAUCUUUUCCCAGAGUGCUGGCUGGAACGCUAGGACCAAGCCAGGCAGAACCAGUCUUUGUGAGGUCAUGGCAUGAACGACAGCCUAUACAACUCAUCUUCAUGGUCAGACUGUAUUAUCCCAAACAUUACUAUUCUUUUGCUGAAGUAAGUCCUUGGAGGUUACAAAUCCAGGCCUGCACACAGCAGGUGGCACCACCAGAAUUUCUUCAAUACUGGCAGACAAUGGCUUGCACAGAACAAAAUUCAUCCCAAUCAUGAUGAGGGAUUCAUAAUCUACAUCAAGUCCGCUGCCUAGAGCUCCUGCUGCUGCUCGUCUACAUUCCAGAUCUUCCCAAAUUCCCCACCUCCUUCACCCAUUUCUGAAAAGCAGAAUGAGCAAAAAUAACUAAUUCCAAAAAGAAGCAGUCCCUCUAGUCCUUCUGCUUCUCAGACAUUUCCCCUGGAUUUUCAGUAUUGUAUCCCAAACAAACUGACCAAGGCUUGCUGUCAUGGAUAAGAGCAUGUAAAAGUUUGCUGGACCUCCCUGAUGAACUUGUCCCAUAUCCACAGGGAUAAAAGGCAGUUUUUAAACAUAUAAAAAAGUCAAGAUGCCUAUGGUUCAGUGUGGCAUUGCACCAUUUGCUGAUCCUUCUGGGUCCAGCUGAGGUAGGUUAGACACAACAACCAGCUGUGCAACCAUAAAUUUAAUGCAGUUUUAAGUUAAUGCCUAGACACUUUUACAAUAAUACGAAGAUUCAAGGCCAACAAACUCCAAAAGGAUGCUUUCUUCAAAACAGCUCUGAUAUCACAUCUGGGCCAACACAAUAUAAAGUGGAAUUAUUCCAUUGGCUUUGGUGGAGUGAUACCAGCUUACAGCCGAUGAAGACCCAGCAUUAUGCUCAACAGCUGUGUGUGCCAGAAAAUAAUGACUCAGAAAAUAACCCAUCAUUAAUCCAACCCCAAUGUAAUUAUGGAGAUUAAAUUUAAACAAUAGCAAAUCUCUCUCUAAACAUAACACUCUACUUUGAAGAGCUUCAAAGGAGGAGGGGUUUUUACUUUUGGAUGAAAAAUGCAACUGAGCUCUUCUUUGUUUCUUUGUGCUGGGAAUCAAGCUGGAAUCGGCUUGUAAAAUCAGAUUGAAAUAGUUGCACAACAGCUUCUUUUCAGGAUUCUUGAACCAAAGGCAGUCUAAAAAUCAAAAUAAUGCCCUAAUGAAAUACAUAAUACCCAUGGGACUCCAGAAAGUACUAAAAAGGCAUUUUCACAUUUUCACAAAGAUGCCUACUGUAUGGCCAGUAAAGCUUUUCCACUCUGCAGUGGGAAGAGGCAGCACAGGGACAGCCUUGCUCUAGCACGUUAUGGGAAAAGCUGAAGCAAAACUGAGGAAAAGGAGAGCCCUUGGCAAAGUGCUCGGGGGGCAGCUAAGCCAGGAGGCUGAGGGCAGGCCACCAGCUCCUCUGCCACCAACACUCACUUUUGGGCUUCCUGGGCUGUCCCCUUGCAAUAACAGAGAUCGCUUUGCAACUGCUUCCACAGCCGCCUCCUUCGUUCCUUCCCCACAGCUUCCCAACACAAAUGUUAACAAAGCGGGUGUUUUCUUUCCAUAUGCUGGCACAUAUGGCAGGUCCCUGCACUGCAAACAGUGCUGUAUCUUAGGAAAACAAAACAUCUUUUUGCUUAAGAGAUGCCAAACUGCUUUAUCAAAGGCACUACUGUUUGCAUUUUUGUGGCAAUAUUAAUGCAGUUCCCACUGAGAAGCUGAUAAAGACUCUGACUGCAGAAACACCCCUCUGGAAGAAGUGAUCUGAAGCUAUUUCUGUAUUGCGUUUCCAAAUAAUUUGUGAUUAAAAUAAUAUUAUGCUUUUCAAAAAGCAUUUCUAUUUCACAGCCAGGCUUCAUGCGUGCACAGCCAGCUUGCAGGAGGGGAGAAGCCGAUGCUGUCAGCCCAUGGGCACAGAGACACGAUCAGAAGUGCUCUGCAGCUGUGCACACGUAUUUUACGCAGGGCUCCAAUUUCAAAUGACUGAAUUAAGCAGCAUCCAGCCAAAAGACCAGCAAAGAGCAUGGGCUUUGGGAACGGGCAGGGCACCCUGUGAGACAGCAUGAAGGACACCAGACUUGGCAUGAGUCAGAGAACAGAAGAUACAAGAAAGGAGGAAGCACUGCUCCUAAGAAGGGCAGAAAGUGGCCGCAAGGAUAAAAAGAGUAAAAUCAUGGUCUGGAGACCCCACAAAUUCCCAACCUUUAACAUGACUACAAAGCAAACACUCUUUGUGACAGUCAAAGCAAGAAGAUGCUACAGCUCUGAAGACUGAGGAGAGCAAAUGCAUGAAGUGCCUGAAGAAACAAUGAAGUGUUUUAAAGACUACUACUCCUGGCUAUGUACAUUUGUCCAAGGAACAGCACAGCUUGUUCCCUAAAGGUUCCGGCGAGACUCUUUCAGGCCUAGGAAGCUGGCAAAGAGAGAGGAUGGGCAAAGGAUGGAGGAAGACAAAGGAAAGUCUCACCACUUCCACAGCCUUCUCCAGGAAAGGCAGGAGGGCCCUGAAGCCGCUCACUGUGCAACCCUAACACAUCUGGGAAGUGCUCAAGAGCAGCAACCAUGAAAACUGAAAAAAAACCCCCAGAAAUCCCAGAAUAUUUUACAGCCCUUACAGCAAUGUGAAUGACCAGAAGCAUACUUGGAAUGUCUCUGUCCAUCUGAUAAAGCCAUCAGCGGCAGCAGUCCUGCGCCGGGCCUGCGGGGGACACAGCUCCUAUUCCCAGCUGCACAGCACAGUACCCAGCCCGGGUGAAAGCCAGGGAGAUGCAAUGCUUUGGGAAUGAUGGGAGACUCCCAGUCAGGGUAGGAAAUCCUAGGGAAAAAGUAAGACUUGAGGAAAAGCACCAUUAAAAGAACUAUUAAAAGGGGAUUUGUGGAAUAAUCCUUAGUUCCACAUAGUUGGCCUGACUUACAUACAGUAGCAUAGCUGGGUAGUUCACCUGAAAAACAUCCAGCAGGAAAAGGGAUAGACUCUGCCAAGUACUACUUUUUUUUUUUCCUCCCCUUUCUCCCCUCCCUUCACUUUCACCAAACACCAAAGCAAUUCUUGGGCUCUAGGCAUUUAAAAAUCAAAAGUUGUCUACAAAUGUUCUUAAAGUAAUAACACACAAAUUGACUCCAAAAG